UAUUUAAAGUGUUUUUACUAUUUUCUUAAGAUAGGAAAUAUACACUAAAAAGCUAAAAAUAAUAUAUGCCUAAAUUUAGAGAAAGCCCUGCCAAGUGAACAGAGUAAUGACAACUUCAAAAAGAUACACAUCUUAAGAGCUGGGCAUAGUAACUCCUACCUACAAUCCUAGGAGGUGAGGACUGGGAGAUCAUGGUUCAAGGCCAGCACAGACACAAAGUCAAACCCUACUAAGCAAAUAAAUUGGGCAUGGUGGGAGGUGUAGAUAAGAGGAUGGCAACUGGAGGUUGGUCUGGGAAUAACUGUGAACCCCCAUCUAAAGCUAGAGAGGCUGGUAGUGUUGCUCAAAUGUUUUCCUGGCUUAAAAUUAGGACCAAUCAUUCCUAAUAGCACAUCCCAUAAAGGGUGGUCCCUCUGAACACUGGGCAUCCCCAUGAUGACAUAAACGAGUCAA